GUGAAGAUCAGGAACACUGCCCCACCUGUUUUAACAGCUUAUGGAGAUGGUAGUUGAAGAAAACAUGAAUAGGACAGGCUGUUAAAAAAGGUCUCACACAGAGAUUUUCAGAAUUCUCUGCAGUGGGAGUCUGCUGACUUCUCUUCAAAUGUGUGCUGCUAAUCACUUUUGGAUGGAUUAAAAGGAAUGCCUAAGUGAGACUUCAGCAGUAGGUGCUUGACUCCAAAACUGAGUUGCUAAAAAUCCUUCAGUUAAUACUAAUCUUGGAGGCACAUAGGAGGCCUGGGUGUGAGACAAAGCACCCUUUUCCCAGGCUUGGAGCAGGGCUUUUUACC